AUUGAACGCUGGCGGCAGGCCUAACACAUGCAAGUCGAACGAGUGGCGGACGGGUGAGUAAUGUCUGGGAAACUGCCUGAUGGAGGGGGAUAACUACUGGAAACGGUAGCUAAUACCGUAUACCAUCAGAUGUGCCCAGCUGGGAUUAGCUAGUUGGUGGGGUAACGGCUCACCAAGACGACGAUCCCUAGCUGGUCUGAGAGGAUGACCAGCCACACUGGAACUGAAACACGGUCCAGACUCCUACGGGAGGCAGCAGAGGGGAAUAUUGCAAAAUGGGCGCAAGCCUGAUGCAGCCAUGCCGCGUGUAUGAAGAAGUCCUUCGGGUUGUAAAGUACUUGCAGCGGGGAGGCGUUACCCGCAGAAGAAGCGCCGGCUAACUACGUGCCAGCAGCCGCGGUAAUUC
rnacentral:rRNA from 1 species